ACGGGGUUGGUACAGCAUGGGGGUGAGUAAUUAAUGACUUAAUUUUCAUUUUUGGGUGAACUAACCCUUUAAGGUUUAAUGAUCUAGCAUUUGUUAAUUUGAUGUAAAUGUAAACUUUGAUCCCAAACACUGAACGCGGACAAAUGUCGGAUUUAUUUUAGAUGAUUUCGAGGUUUAUUGUUAUGAAAUGAAGAUCUGUAAGUAUUAUUUGACAGAACAGGAUUGCAGUGAGAUUGAAUAGUGUUACUGUACUAAUAUUUCAGAAUCUCUUCUGAAGUGUGAAAAUAAGUAUUUUUAAAAGGUUCAAUCUGUAUAUUUUCAUUGUUCAGAGGAUCACACAUGGGUGUUUUGAUAUGUUACAGUAUCAUGUUUGUACUGGCUUACCUUCAACGAGAUGCUUUGGUGCAAAAUCAUAACAUAAUAACCUCUUACCGUCACUGCAGAUGGUCACUGUUUUAAUCUCUGAGCCAUUUUAUUUGAGUUUUAUGAUUUCUUUGUCAGUAUACCGAUGUGCCAAACAUGAAAAAUUUGCACUUGAUGAUUUUGGUUCACUUGGACGUCAAUGGAAAAAUCACACAGUGAAAUUUCAUAUUUAAGCCCAAGUUCAAAUGAUAGUGUGUAUCCGAGUUGAGACUGAAUCUUUGUGCUUCAGUGUGAAUGUAAUGUGCUUUAAAUGCAUUUAGUGUCUUUUCAGCCUUUCAAGUGUUAAAUUAUGCAGAUCUUGCCUUCAUCAGUGUAUAAACUAUAAUAGGCUACUCAGUGGCCUUCGGUCGAUGAACACAGACUGUGUAUUGUCUUCUGCAUCUGUCCAGCUGUUAGAUUUCUAUAUUCAGACUGCACAAAUAAUUGUACAGUUUUGUAUAUAAAUUACGCCUUAUUUUCAUUUAUAAGAAAAUACAAUUAAAAAACUUUUUGAAAGGCA